GACGAACGCUGGCGGCGUGCUUAACACAUGCAAGUCGAACGAUGAAGCCGGAGCUUGCUCUGGUGAAUUAGUGGCGAACGGGUGAGUAACACGUGAGUGACCUGCCCUUGACUCUGGGAUAACUGCUAGAAAUGGUAGCUAAUACCGGAUACGACCCUCGGAGGCAUCUUCAGGGGGUGGAAAGAAUUUCGGUCAAGGAUGGACUCGCGGCCUAUCAGCUAGUUGGUGAGGUAACGGCUCACCAAGGCGACGACGGGUAGCCGGCCUGAGAGGGUGACCGGCCACACUGGGACUGCGACACGGCCCAGACUCCUACGGGAGGCAGCAGUGGGGAAUAUUGCACAAUGGGCGCAAGCCUGAUGCAGCAACGCCGCGUGAGGGAUGACGGCCUUCGGGUUGUAAACCUCUUUUAGUAGGGAAGAAGCGAAAGUGACGGUACCUGCAGAAAAAGCACCGGCUAACUACGUGCCAGCAGCCGCCGCCG
rnacentral:rRNA from 1 species